UUCCACUGAGAAGAUAGUGGCGAACGGGUGAGUAACACGUGGGUAACCUGCCCAUAAGAGGGGGGAUAACAUCCGGAAACGGGUGCUAAUACCGCAUAGUUUUCUGAUCGCAUGAUCGGGAAAGGAAAGACGGCCUUUGUGCUGUCGCUUAUGGAUGGACCCGCGGCGUAUUAGUUAGUUGGUGAGGUAACGGCUCACCAAGACGAUGAUACGUAGCCGACCUGAGAGGUGAUCGGCCACAUUGGGACUGAGACACGGCCCAAACUCCUACGGGAGGCAGCAGUAGGGAAUCUUCCGCAAUGGACGAAAGUCUGACGGAGCAACGCCGCGUGAGUGAAGAAAGGUUUUCGGAUCGUAAAACUCUGUUGUCAGAGAAGAACAAGUUGGAGAGUAACUGCUCCAGCCUUGACGGUAUCUGACCAGAAAGCCACGGCUAACUACGUGCCAGCAGCCGC
rnacentral:rRNA from 1 species